CGUGCUUACACAUGCAAGUCGAACGAUGUAAACCUAGCUUGCUAGGUGGAUUAGUGGCGCACGGGUGAGUAAUGGAUAGGAACGUGCCUCAUAGUCUGGGACAACAGUUGGAAACGGCUGCUAAUACCGGAUAUUCCUACGGGGGAAAGCUUUAGCGCUAUGAGAUCGGCCUAUCUCCCAUCAGCUAGUUGGUAAGGUAAAGGCUUACCAAGGCUAUGACGGGUAGCUGGUCUUAGAGGACGAUCAGCCACACUGGAACUGAGACACGGUCCAGACUCCUACGGGAGGCAGCAGUGGGGAAUAUUGCACAAUGGGGGAAACCCUGAUGCAGCAACGCCGCGUGGAGGAUGACGCAUUUCGGUGUGUAAACUCCUUUUAUCAAGGAAGAAAUUUGACGGUACUUGAUGAAUAAGCACCGGCUAACUCCGUGCCAGCAGCCGCGGUAAUACGGAGGGUGCAAGCGUUACUCGGAAUUACUGGGCGUAAAGGACGCGUAGGCGGUCCGAUAAGUUAGAUGUGAAAUCCUAUGGCUUAACCAUAGAACUGCAUCUAAAACUGUCAGACUAGAAUGAGGGAGAGGUCAGUGGAAUUAGUGGUGUAGGGGUAAA
rnacentral:rRNA from 1 species